rnacentral:piRNA from 1 species
UGCAGUCUGAAAUUUAUGAAU